rnacentral:rRNA from 1 species
AAGAUGAACGCUAGCUACAGGCUAACACAUGCAAGUCAGGGGCAGCAUAACGAAAGCUUGCUUUGUUGAUGGCGACCGGCGCACGGGUGAGUAACGCGUAUCCAACCUUCCCCAUAGUAGAGAAUAGCCCGGCGAAAGUCGGAUUAAUGCUCUAUGUUGUAUCAUGAGGACAUCUGAAUAAUACCAAAGGUUCACCGCUAUGGGAUGGGGAUGCGUCUGAUUAGGUUGUUGGCGGGGUAACGGCCCACCAAGCCCACGAUCCAGUAGGGGUUCUGAGAGGAAGGUCCCCCACAUUGGAACUGAGACACGGUCCAAACUCCUACGGGAGGCAGCAGUGAGGAAUAUUGGUCAAUGGACGGAGGUCUGAACCAGCCAAGUAGCCGUGCAGGAUGACGGCCCUAUGGGUUGUAAACUGCUUUUAUACAGGGAUAAAGUGAGGGACGUGUCCCUUUUUGUAGGUACUGUAUGAAUAAGGACCGGCUAAUUCCGUGCCAGCAGCCGC